GCAUUAAUGGGGUAGUGGUAACCUGGGUCGUUGCCAUAUUGGUGGUAAAAUUGGGUAUACUCGACCCGCCGGGAGUUCGAUUCUCUCUUAAUGCA